rnacentral:rRNA from 1 species
UUAAGUGACUAAGCGUACAAGGUGGAUGCCUUGGCAAUCAGAGGCGAGGAAGGACGUGCUAAUCUGCGAAAAGCUUGGAUGAGUCGAUAAGAGGCGUUUAAUCCAAGAUGUCCGAAUGGGGAAACCCAGUAGAUGAAGAAUCUACUAUCACUUACUGAAUCCAUAGGUAAGUGAGGCAAACCGGGAGAACUGAAACAUCUAAGUACCCCGAGGAAAAGAAAUCAACCGAGAUUUCGUUAGUAGCGGCGAGCGAACGCGAAGGAGCCUGUUAGUGAUAAUGACAGAGACAGAGGAACAAGCUGGGAAGCUUGGCGAUACAGGGUGAUAGCCCCGUACUCGAAGUCCAGGUCAUGGUACUAAGCUAACGACAAGUAGGGCGGGACACGUGAUAUCCUGUUUGAAGAUGGGGGGACCAUCCUCCAAGGCUAAAUACUCCUACAUGACCGAUAGUGAACCAGUACUGUGAAGGAAAGGCGAAAAGAACCCCGGCGAGGGGAGUGAAAAAGAACCUGAAACCUUGUACGUACAAGCAGUGGGAGCACCUUCGGGUGUGACUGCGUACCUUUUGUAUAAUGGGUCAGCGACUUAUAUUCUGUAGCGAGGUUAACCGAAUAGGGGAGCCGAAGGGAAACCGAGUCUUAACUGGGCGUCUAGUUGCAAGGUAUAGACCCGAAACCCGGUGAUCUAGCCAUGGGCAGGUUGAAGGUUGGGUAACACUAACUGGAGGACCGAACCGACUAAUGUUGAAAAAUUAGCGGAUGACUUGUGGCUGGGGGUGAAAGGCCAAUCAAACCGGGAGAUAGCUGGUUCUCCCCGAAAUCUAUUUAGGUAGAGCCUUGAGCGGACACCUUCGGGGGUAGAGCACUGUUUCGGCUAGGGGUCCAUCCCGGAUUACCAACCCGAUGCAAACUACGAAUACCGAAGAGUGAUACUCAGGAGACACACGGCGGGUGCUAACGUCCGUCGUGAAGAGGGAAACAACCCAGACCGCCAGCUAAGGUCCCAAAGUCAUGGUUAAGUGGGAAACGAUGUGGGAAGGCCCAGACAGCCAGGAUGUUGGCUUAGAAGCAGCCAUCAUUUAAAGAAAGCGUAAUAGCUCACUAGUCGAGUCGGCCUGCGCGGAAGAUGUAACGGGGCUCAAAUAUAGCACCGAAGCUGCGGCAUCAGACGAAAGUCUGUUGGGUAGGGGAGCGUUCUGUAAGCGGAUGAAGGUGGCUCGAGAGGGCUGCUGGACGUAUCAGAAGUGCGAAUGCUGACAUAAGUAACGAUAAAACGGGUGAAAAACCCGUUCGCCGGAAGACCAAGGGUUCCUGUCCAACGUUAAUCGGGGCAGGGUGAGUCGGCCCCUAAGGCGAGGCUGAAAAGCGUAGUCGAUGGGAAACGGGUUAAUAUUCCCGUACUUGGAUAAACUGCGAUGUGGGGACGGAGCAGGUUAGGUUAUCGCACUGUUGGAUAUGUGCGUUUAAGUUGGUAGGUGUGAAGUUUAGGCAAAUCCGGACUUCUUUAACACUGAGAGAUGAUGACGAGGCUCUACGGAGCUGAAGUAACCGAUACCACACUUCCAGGAAAAGCCACUAAGCUUCAGGUUUAUCUAAACCGUACUGAAAACCGACACAGGUGGUCAGGUAGAGAAUACUCAGGCGCUUGAGAGAACUCGGGUGAAGGAACUAGGCAAAAUAGCACCGUAACUUCGGGAGAAGGUGCGCCGGCGUAGAUUGUAGUCCCUUGCGGGCGAAGGUUGAACCGGUCGAAGAUACCAGCUGGCUGCAACUGUUUAUUAAAAACACAGCACUCUGCAAACACGAAAGUGGACGUAUAGGGUGUGACGCCUGCCCGGUGCCGGAAGGUUAAUUGAUGGGGUUAUCCGUAAGGAGAAGCUCUUGAUCGAAGCCCCGGUAAACGGCGGCCGUAACUAUAACGGUCCUAAGGUAGCGAAAUUCCUUGUCGGGUAAGUUCCGACCUG